CAAUAGCGUAUAUUAAAGUUGUUGCGGUUAAAAAGCUCGUAGUUGGAGUUCUGCCAGGUGACGCUCGUCCGCCCAAGUGGUGUGUACAGGGCGUGCAUCUGGCCCUUUCAAGGGGAACGUGUCUGCUCUUUAUUGAGUGGUGCGAGAUCCUUGACUUUUACUUUGAGGAAAUCAGAGUGUUCAAAGCAGGCUAUCGCCUUGAAUAUAUUAGCAUGGAAUAAUGAUAUAGGACUUUGGUUCUAUUUUGUUGGUUGUUCGAGAACCGAAGUAAUGAUUGAUAGGGACAGUUGGGGGGCAUCAGUAUUCUGAAGCGAGAGGUGAAAUUCUUGGACCUUCGGAAGACUAACAGCUGCGAAAGCGUUUGCCUAGGAUGUUCUCUUUAAUCAAGAACGAAAGUUGGGGGAUCGAAGAUGAUCAGAUACC
rnacentral:rRNA from 1 species